rnacentral:rRNA from 1 species
UACGUAGGUGGCAAGCGUUGUCCGGAAUUAUUGGGCGUAAAGCGCGCGCAGGCGGCCUUUAAAGUCUGAUGUGAAAUCUUGCGGCUCAACCGCAAGCGGUCAUUGGAAACUGGGAGGCUUGAGUACAGAAGAGGAGAGUGGAAUUCCACGUGUAGCGGUGAAAUGCGUAGAUAUGUGGAGGAACACCAGUGGCGAAGGCGACUCUCUGGUCUGUAACUGACGCUGAGGCGCGAAAGCGUGGGGAGCAAACAGG